GCCUGGGUGGCUCAGUGGGUUGAGCGACUGACUUCGGCUCAGGUCAUGACCUCACGGUUCGUGGGUUCGAGCCCCGCGUCGGGCU
rnacentral:tRNA from 1 species